rnacentral:misc_RNA from 1 species
AAGUCGUAACAAGGUUUCCGUAGGUGAACCUGCGGAAGGAUCAUUACCGUGGGGAUCCGUCCCCAUCGAGAUAGCACCCUUUGUUUAUGAGUACCAUUUGUUUCCUCGGCGGGGCUGUCUGGACCCGCCGCUAGGACCCCCCCAAAAAACCUUUGUAGUUGCAGUACCUUCAGUAAAUAACAAAAUAAUCAAAACUUUCAACAACGGAUCUCUUGGUUCUG